UCUAACAAUCUACAGGAUGUACGCAGACACUCUCAGGGCCAUUGUGUACACUUGCUUUAGGGGCAGGCCAUUUUAAUUGCUUCUAGCCUUUAUCGCUAAUGCCUGACAAGUGAAAACGCGUGAAAGCAGGAGUGAAGGCUCUGCGUCUUCCCAGAGGCAGACACAGAAAGGAGUGGAGAAUCCCCGUCCCUCCCUUCCACUGACUUCAUGCCAGACUGUAGUUGGCUAUGGUUAGAUGACACCGUGUGAAAACAGACGGUUAUUGGCUCCAGUGUUACAGUGAGGAAUCGGAGGCAUGAAGAUUUUCAAUAACUUGCUUAAAGUUACCCAGUCUUGUAGAUUCCACAGUAUCAAUUCCAGCCCCCCCAUGAUGUGGAUCUCCUGGCUCUAAUGUUCCAGGAGACAUGCUUCAAGAGGCAAACAGUUGAAGUGGGUCCGUCCCAGUCCAUCAAAUAAUAAGUGCCCGUUCCUUACUGUGACACAAAGGAGGAGAGAUGGUGGUGACAGGAGAGUUACAGGAGAGUUUGAAAUAAACAAAGGACAGGAGAGUUUGAAGUAAACAUGUUGUGAUGAAGAAAGGUGCCUAAGCUAGAAAAUGUGU